CCUGACCAGCGACGCCGCGUGGGUGAAGAAAUCCCUCGGGAUGUAAAGCCCUGUUGUAUGGGAAGAGCAGAAGACGGUACCAUACGAGGAACCCCCGGCAAACUACGUGCCAGCCCCCGCGGUA
rnacentral:rRNA from 1 species